GACGAACGCUGGCGGUGUGCUUCACACAUGCAAGUCGAACGAGGUAGCAAUACCUAGUGGCGGACGGGUGAGUAACGCGUGGGAAUCUGCCUUUAGAUGGGGGGAUAACGGGUCGAAAGACUCGCUAAUACCGCAUAUGACGAAAGUUGAAAGGAGUAAUCCGUCUAAAGAUGAGCCCGCGUCCGAUUAGCUAGUUGGGUAGAGUAAAAGCCUACCAAGGCGACGAUCGGUAGCUGGUCUGAGAGGAUGAUCAGCCACAAUGGGAACCGAGACACGGCCCAUACUCCUACGGGAGGCAGCAGUGGGAAUUUACGCAAUGGGCGAAAGCCUGACGUAGCGACA
rnacentral:rRNA from 1 species